UAGAAUUCCACGUGUAGCGGUGAAAUGCGUAGAGAUGUGGAGGAAUACCGGUGGCGAAGGCGGCCUUCUGGACAGAUACUGACGCUGAGAUGCGAAAGCGUGGGGAGCAAACAGGAUUAGAUACCCUGGUAGUCCACGCUGUAAACGAUGUCGAUUUGGAGUUUGUUGCCUAGAGUGAUGGGCUCCGAAGCUAACGCGAUAAAUCGACCGCCUGGGGAGUACGGCCGCAAGGUUAAAACUCAAAUGAAUUGACGGGGGCCCGCACAAGCGGUGGAGCAUGUGGUUUAAUUCGAUGCAACGCGAAGAACCUUACCUGGUCUUGACAUCCACAGAAUCUUGCAGAGGUGCGAGAGUGCCUUCGGGAACUGUGAGACAGGUGCUGCAUGGCUGUCGUCAGCUCGUGUUGUGAAAUGUUGGGUUAAGUCCCGCAACGAGCGCAACCCUUAUCCUUUGUUGCCAGCGAUUCGGUCGGGAACUCAAAGGAGACUGCCGUUGAUAAAGCGGAGGAAGGUGGGGACGACGUCAAGUCAUCAUGGCCCUUACGACCAGGGCUACACACGUGCUACAAUGGCGUAUACAAAGGGAGGCGACCUCGCGAGAGCAAGCGGACCUCAUAAAGUACGUCUAAGUCCGGAUUGGAGUCUGCAACUCGACUCCAUGAAGUCGGAAUCGCUAGUAAUCGUGAAUCAGAAUGU
rnacentral:rRNA from 1 species